AGUAAGCUCGAGGGGUAUUUUACACUCAAUAUCCUAAAGUCAAUUGGCUUGGGAGUCAUUGACCCAAAGCUCACUACACGGGUCUAAUAGAAAGCUUAAGGGGUUAAGGUAUUUAUACACUGUACUAAAAAAAAAGAGAGAAAGAUAAGUACAUCCUUCUCAUUUAGAAGCUAGAUGAUUUAACAAUAACAAUAGGGAG
rnacentral:lncRNA from 1 species